UUUAAAAAAAUUCAUCCAUUUCUAUCUGGUGUAGCUAGAUAACAAAUCAGUUACACGUGAUGUGCCACAUGUAGUUCGUGUUGACAUACAAAGACUAGUUUAUAACGAUAGAAAUGGAUGAAAUUUUUUAUA
rfam:Gossypium arboreum cultivar AKA8401 contig_77732_1, whole genome shotgun sequence.